CGCAUAUCGUCGACCAGAUCGCCCGGUGCGGUUCCACAGCGACCGCACGCCACAUACAACAGGAAGGAAAAGGGACGGCAAAAAAGGCAACAAACAAAAACACACAGCGGCGACCCAAAACAGUGUUUGCCUGGCAGCACGAUCGCGGCGCAGACAAGGAUGCGGCACCCAAGCAAUAGACAACGACAACCCGCACCGUCGCUUGUUUUUGCUCUUCCCUCGUGACCCUCAAUCCUUUUUUCCCGCCUCUGCCACCAAAAGGGGCCUUUUUCCUCAACAGUCUCGCCUUGUUUCCCCUCCGCCGCUUCUUUUGGUGUGAGGCCUUUCAGCCUGUGUCAUCCAGGAGGAAGAAAGAAGAGACAAUACC
rnacentral:lncRNA from 1 species